GAUGAACGCUGGCGGCGUGCCUAAUACAUGCAAGUCGAGCGAACAGACGAGGAGCUUGCUCCUCUGACGUUAGCGGCGGACGGGUGAGUAACACGUGGAUAACCUACCUAUAAGACUGGGAUAACUUCGGGAAACCGGAGCUAAUACCGGAUAAUAUAUUGAACCGCAUGGUUCAAUAGUGAAAGACGGUUUUGCUGUCACUUAUAGAUGGAUCCGGGCCGGAUUAGCUAGUUGGUAAGGUAACGGCUUACCAAGGCAACGAUGCGUAGCCGACCUGAGAGGGUGAUCGGCCACACUGGAACUGAGACACGGUCCAGACUCCUACGGGAGGCAGCAGUAGGGAAUCUUCCGCAAUGGGCGAAAGCCUGACGGAGCAACGCCGCGUGAGUGAUGAAGGUCUUCGGAUCGUAAAACUCUGUUAUUAGGGAAGAACAAAUGUGUAAGUAACUAUGCACGUCUUGACGGUACCUAAUCAGAAAGCAACGGCUAACUACGUG
rnacentral:rRNA from 1 species